rnacentral:rRNA from 1 species
GAUGAACGCUGGCGGCGUGCCUAAUACAUGCAAGUCGAGCGAACAGACGAGGAGCUUGCUCCUCUGACGUUAGCGGCGGACGGGUGAGUAACACGUGGAUAACCUACCUAUAAGACUGGGAUAACUUCGGGAAACCGGAGCUAAUACCGGAUAAUAUAUUGAACCGCAUGGUUCAAUAGUGAAAGACGGUUUUGCUGUCACUUAUAGCUGGAUCCGCGUCGCAUUAGCUAGUUGGUAAGGUAACGGCUUACCAAGGCAACGAUGCGUAGCCGACCUGAGAGGGUGAUCGGCCACACUGGAACUGAGACACGGUCCAGACUCCUACGGGAGGCAGCAGUAGGGAAUCUUCCGCAAUGGGCGAAAGCCUGACGGAGCAACGCCGCGUGAGUGAUGAAGGUCUUCGGAUCGUAAAACUCUGUUAUUAGGGAAGAACAGAUGUGUAAGUAACUAUGCACGUCUUGACGGUACCUAAUCAGAAAGCCACGGCUAACUACGUG